rnacentral:rRNA from 1 species
UACGUAGGGGGCUAGCGUUGUCCGGAUUUAUUGGGCGUAAAGAGCGUGUAGGCGGCCAGGUAGGUCGGUUGUGAAAACUGGAGGCUCAACCUUCAGAGGUCGACCGAAACCAUCUGGCUAGAGUCCGGGAGAGGAGAGUGGAAUUCCUGGUGUAGCGGUGAAAUGCGCAGAUAUCAGGAGGAACACCGAUGGCGAAGGCAGGUCUCUGGGCCAUAACUGACGCUGAGAAGCGAAAGCAUGGGGAGCGAACAGG